AAACACCCAUCCACACCCCAGGGCUAACUGACCAGGACCCAGCUUCCGCCCGAACCAAAAUUUUCGGGAUGAGAAGGCCCAAAACAAAAAAACUUUUACCCCAUUAGGAGAAUCUUACACCGCUUUAUUCCAUAGUCUGAAACAGUUGGGAAUGUUAACCCCAAUUGAGCCCAAAAUACCAAACCAACCUUCCAAAAACCUGGACCGAUCCGUCAGUUGUGAGUAUUGCUCGGGAAUGCCAGGGCAUGAAACUGAAAAAUGUUGGAAGUUGAAGAAUGCAGUACAUGAGCUUAUUGACAACCGCUGAAUUGAAGUACAGGCCCCAGAGGCACCGAAUAUCAAUCAGAAUCCGCUGCCAGCACAUCACGAGACUAACAUGAUUGAGUUAGUACACAAGGAUGGGGAAGUGAAGAAGCCAUCACAAACCGUGAUGAUGAUUCGUGCUGUUUAGGAUAGUUCAAGAGAAAAGCCGACAGGGGAACAGACAUGGAUAAAGUUGUCUCACAAACUGUGAUGAUGAUUCGUUCUGUUGAGGAUAGUUUAAGAGAAAAGGCGACAGGGGAACAGAAAGGGAUUAAGUUGAAAGGUACAAAUGACAAACCAGUGGUAGUAAUUGGGAAAGAAUUAUCUGUUGUUGCAAAGAAACUAGAACCGGUUAAUUUGAUAGUGCGGGGGGCGUCACCCGCGCCCGUAGUUGUUGUAAAAGGUGCUUACAUCGAGCCAGUGAUCAUCAAGCCAGUGGUUCAGUUACUCGUGGUUGAUAGCAAAGCUGUGCCAUGGAAAUAUGAGAAGGUGAUAGUAAUAUACAAAGGAAAAGAAAUUGAGGAAGAGAGCUGUGAGGCACAAGGGUUGACUCGAUCAGGCGGUUGCUUCACUCCCGAAGAGUUGAGAAAGGCUAGGGCUACUAAAGACAGUCCAUCAUUGGUCAAGAAAGCUGUUACGGAGGAAGAGGCAGAGGAGUUUCUAAAAAAAGAUGAAGGUACAUGACUAUUCUAUUGUGGAGUAGUUGAAGAAAUACCAGCCCAGAUUUCGAUGUUGUCAUUAUUGGUACACUCCAAUGAACAUCGCCGAGCUUUGAUGAAAAUACUAAAUGAAGCCCAUGUGCCUGAUAAGAUUCCAGUGAACCACUUGGAAACAAUUGCUAAUAGGAUCUUCGAGGUAAACAGGAUAACGUUCUCGGAUGAUGAGUUGCCUGUAGAAGG
rnacentral:lncRNA from 1 species